AAUUUUAUUGUCAAGGGGUUGGUUAAAUAAAAUGGAUUGUAAAAAUGAA
rnacentral:lncRNA from 1 species